CACGAAGGUGGCAAGCGUUGUUCGGAAUUACUGGGCUUAAAGAGCACGUAGGCGGGCCAUUAAGCGUCAUGUGAAAUCCCUCGGCUCAACCGAGGACGUGCAUGGCGAACUGAUGGCCUUGAGGCAGGGAGAGGCAAGUGGAACUCUUGGUGGAGCGGUGGAAUGCGUAGAUAUCAAGAGGAACACCGGAGGCGAAAGCGACUUGCUGGUCCUGUCCUGACGCUGAGGUGCGAAAGCCAGGGGAGCGAACGGG
rnacentral:rRNA from 1 species